rnacentral:tRNA from 1 species
GAGGGUACAGCUCAAGUAAGUGGUAGAGCACAUGCUUAGUAUGCACGAGGUCCUGGGUUCAAUCCCCAGUACCACCU